rnacentral:rRNA from 1 species
CGGACAGUGUCUGGUGGGUAGUUUGACUGGGGCGGUCUCCUCCUAAAGCGUAACGGAGGAGCACGAAGGUUAGCUAAUCCUGGUCGGACAUCAGGAGGUUAGUGCAAUGGCAUAAGCUAGCUUGACUGCGAGCGUGACGGCGCGAGCAGGUGCGAAAGCAGGUCAUAGUGAUCCGGUGGUUCUGAAUGGAAGGGCCAUCGCUCAACGGAUAAAAGGUACUCCGGGGAUAACAGGCUGAUACCGCCCAAGAGUUCAUAUCGACGGCGGUGUUUGGCACCUCGAUGUCGGCUCAUCACAUCCUGGGGCUGAAGUAGGUCCCAAGGGUAUGGCUGUUCGCCAUUUAAAGUGGUACGCGAGCUGGGUUUAGAACGUCGUGAGACAGUUCGGUCCCUAUCUGCCGUGGGCGCUGGAGAAUUGAGGGGGGCUGCUCCUAGUACGAGAGGACCGGAGUGGACGCAUCACUGGUGUUCGGGUUGUCAUGCCAAUGGCACUGCCCGGUAGCUAAAUGCGGAAGAGAUAAGUGCUGAAAGCAUCUAAGCACGAAACUUGCCCCGAGAUGAGUUCUCCCUGAGACUUUAAGUCUCCUGAAGGAACGUUGAAGACGACGACGUUGAUAGGCCGGGUGUGUAAGCGCAGCGAUGCGUUGAGCUAACCGGUACUAAUGAACCGUGAGGCUUAACCUU